CAUCUCUUUCCUGCUGGGCAGGCAGGCAGAGUGGACACUAAGCUCACACUUUCAAGGUUGUGAGGUGGGGACAGCUGCAGAGCUCCUGAGGCCUAGACUGCAAAUGUGGAUGAAGAAGAUGAGGACAAUGCUGAUGGAACCCACUGCGGGGUGUCUAUCACCAGGAGUCAGGUAGUGCCUGGGACAUGAAGCAGUGCCUGGGACCUCGUUUCUGGUCCCUUACUAUAAUCAUCUUCCUAGAAACAAUUUAAAUGAACGCAUGAAUUUUAAUUAAUUUAACAACAAUAUCUAGCAUUCAUGGGGUACCUCUCUGCUAAGCUCUCUGACAUUUAUGGCACUUUCUCAUGAAAAGCGUAAGAUUAUCCCUAUUUUACAGACAAGGAAACUAAGACUAAUAGAGGUUAACUCAUGAGAGGUUGCAGCUACAAAAGGUGGAGCUGAGAUUUGAGUUCAAAGGCCUGGAUGACACCCCCCCCCCCGCCACCAUUUCCAUGUCCUGCAGGAGGGCUGAUGUCUCUCCCCAGUAACCCCUCAGCGUCACCCGGGGAGGCUGAAGUGUUCUGGGCUGCCCCAAUCUACAGCAUCAGCUUUUGGAGUGUGGCUCCAGGGUCAUGUCCUGUAGGCACCUGUCCCAGUUAAGCUGUGGCGUUUGAGAAUUUAGAGCUGGCUGACUCCCGAAGGGCAGGGAUCUGCCCAGGACUGGCACGGGACACGGUCCAAGGAAGGGUCAGAAGCGUUCACUGAACCAAACACAGGGUGAGCAGGCCCCUCACCAGGCCAGCUAUCCGGAGCUCCUGACGCCUCGUGGUCUUCUCCUGUUCCUUUCCUGUACUCUUCACUGCCGGCUCCCAGGCUGCACCCAGUCCAGACUUCCCUGCAUUGGGAGAAGCCAGGCACACCUGACACCAGGAAGCUGCAUUUUGUUAGUAAGAACAAACUCAGCCCCUCAGGCAGCUUUUAAGACAGAUAUCGUCUGGAUGCCUGAACGAAAUAGCUUUGGUGGGCUCACGCAGCAUAGAGAGGCAAGCUUGGGUCUCCUCCUCUUGAGAAUUUUCUUUUGGUUUAUUUGAACUUGGGAUGGAACCCAGGCCCUUCACACUGAGCUACUUCCCCAUCCUUUUCUCAUCUUUUAUUUUAUGACAGGGACUUGCUUAAUUACCAAGUUGCCCAGACUAGGCUCAAUUUCAAUCCUCCUGCUUCAGUCUCCCAGAGUGCUAGGAUUAUGUGUGUGCCCCCCAUGAUUGGCUCCUCUGACAAGUUUUAAACAUAAAAAAGGAUUAUUUAUCAACACGAAAUACCCAGAUAUCAAGCAAUUGUGUGAAAUCAUGGGUUUGAUCUCCAGCACUACAAAAAACAAAAUAUCAAGUAAUAAAUAAGUCAUGGUAUCUAUAAGGGAUACUACAUGCAUACUAUGGAAUAUUAAGCAGUCACCAAAAUUUAAGAAUUUCUAAGGAUAUUUAAUAAUAUGGGGAAAUAUUCACCAAAAAUAAGGGGAAAAAGUAGGGUACAAAAUUAUAUACACUGG
rnacentral:lncRNA from 1 species